UACGUAGGGUGCGAGCGUUGUCCGGAAUUAUUGGGCGUAAAGAGCUCGUAGGCGGUCUGUCGCGUCGGUCGUGAAAACUUGGGGCUUAACCCUGAGCUUGCGGUCGAUACGGGCAUGACUGGAGUUCGGCAGGGGAGACUGGAAUUCCUGGUGUAGCGGUGAAAUGCGCAGAUAUCAGGAGGAACACCGGUGGCGAAGGCGGCUUUCUGGACACUUACUGACGCUGAGACGCGAAAGCGUGGGGAGCAAACAGG
rnacentral:rRNA from 1 species